rnacentral:lncRNA from 1 species
GGAUGCUGGUGUUCAUUUAAAAUCAAUGUGGCAACUUGACUUCCUAUAUCACUUUGGAAUUUGAGUAGCUUCAGUAUGCCUAACAUUGGAGAAUCUAGUGGAUGGAGUGGUAGAUGGGUAGCAUGAUUGCCAUCUAAAAGGGUCACUUCAGCUGCUUUCUUUGAGGGAGACCAACACAAGAAAACCCAAGGUAGGGGGGACUUCCACAAACCCAAGCUCCCAAGUCCAGGAAAAGGGACCUUUUAGAGAUCAUAUGGGCCCCUUUCUAGAUCUAUGAGCACUAUUAGCGGAAGUGUGUAACACGGAAAGUCGAGUAAGUAAUCGCACAGCUGAUCAGUGAUCUCAAGGC